rnacentral:rRNA from 1 species
UACGUAGGCAGCGAGCGUUGUUCGGAAUUACUGGGCGUAAAGGGCUCGUAGGCGGCCAACUAAGUCGGAUGUGAAAUCCCCAGGCUCAACCUGGGAACUGCAUCCGAUACUGGAUGGCUUGAAUUCGGGAGAGGGAUGCAGAAUUCCAGGUGUAGCGGUGAAAUGCGUAGAUAUCUGGAGGAAUACCGGUGGCGAAGGCGGCAUCCUGGACCGACAUUGACGCUGAGGAGCGAAAGCCAGGGGAGCAAACGGG